UUAAGCGACUAAGCGUACACGGUGGAUGCCCUGGCAGUCAGAGGCGAUGAAGGACGUGCUAAUCUGCGAUAAGCGUCGGUAAGGUGAUAUGAACCGUUAUAACCGGCGAUUUCCGAAUGGGGAAACCCAGUGUGAUUCGUCACACUAUCAUUAACUGAAUCCAUAGGUUAAUGAGGCGAACCGGGGGAACUGAAACAUCUAAGUACCCCGAGGAAAAGAAAUCAACCGAGAUUCCCCCAGUAGCGGCGAGCGAACGGGGAGCAGCCCAGAGCCUGAAUCAGUGUGUGUGUUAGUGGAAGCGUCUGGAAAGGCGCGCGAUACAGGGUGACAGCCCCGUACACAAAAAUGCACAUAUUGUGAGCUCGAUGAGUAGGGCGGGACACGUGGUAUCCUGUCUGAAUAUGGGGGGACCAUCCUCCAAGGCUAAAUACUCCUGACUGACCGAUAGUGAACCAGUACCGUGAGGGAAAGGCGAAAAGAACCCCGGCGAGGGGAGUGAAAAAGAACCUGAAACCGUGUACGUACAAGCAGUGGGAGCACGCUUAGGCGUGUGACUGCGUACCUUUUGUAUAAUGGGUCAGCGACUUAUAUUCUGUAGCAAGGUUAACCGAAUAGGGGAGCCGAAGGGAAACCGAGUCUUAACUGGGCGUUAAGUUGCAGGGUAUAGACCCGAAACCCGGUGAUCUAGCCAUGGGCAGGUUGAAGGUUGGGUAACACUAACUGGAGGACCGAACCGACUAAUGUUGAAAAAUUAGCGGAUGACUUGUGGCUGGGGGUGAAAGGCCAAUCAAACCGGGAGAUAGCUGGUUCUCCCCGAAAGCUAUUUAGGUAGCGCCUCGUGAAUUCAUCUCCGGGGGUAGAGCACUGUUUCGGCAAGGGGGUCAUCCCGACUUACCAACCCGAUGCAAACUGCGAAUACCGGAGAAUGUUAUCACGGGAGACACACGGCGGGUGCUAACGUCCGUCGUGAAGAGGGAAACAACCCAGACCGCCAGCUAAGGUCCCAAAGUCAUGGUUAAGUGGGAAACGAUGUGGGAAGGCCCAGACAGCCAGGAUGUUGGCUUAGAAGCAGCCAUCAUUUAAAGAAAGCGUAAUAGCUCACUGGUCGAGUCGGCCUGCGCGGAAGAUGUAACGGGGCUAAACCAUGCACCGAAGCUGCGGCAGCGACGCUUAUGCGUUGUUGGGUAGGGGAGCGUUCUGUAAGCCUGCGAAGGUGUGCUGUGAGGCAUGCUGGAGGUAUCAGAAGUGCGAAUGCUGACAUAAGUAACGAUAAAGCGGGUGAAAAGCCCGCUCGCCGGAAGACCAAGGGUUCCUGUCCAACGUUAAUCGGGGCAGGGUGAGUCGACCCCUAAGGCGAGGCCGAAAGGCGUAGUCGAUGGGAAACAGGUUAAUAUUCCUGUACUUGGUGUUACUGCGAAGGGGGGACGGAGAAGGCUAUGUUGGCCGGGCGACGGUUGUCCCGGUUUAAGCGUGUAGGCUGGUUUUCCAGGCAAAUCCGGAAAAUCAAGGCUGAGGCGUGAUGACGAGGCACUACGGUGCUGAAGCAACAAAUGCCCUGCUUCCAGGAAAAGCCUCUAAGCAUCAGGUAACAUCAAAUCGUACCCCAAACCGACACAGGUGGUCAGGUAGAGAAUACCAAGGCGCUUGAGAGAACUCGGGUGAAGGAACUAGGCAAAAUGGUGCCGUAACUUCGGGAGAAGGCACGCUGAUAUGUAGGUGAAGUCCCUUGCGGAUGGAGCUGAAAUCAGUCGAAGAUACCAGCUGGCUGCAACUGUUUAUUAAAAACACAGCACUGUGCAAACACGAAAGUGGACGUAUACGGUGUGACGCCUGCCCGGUGCCGGAAGGUUAAUUGAUGGGGUCAGCGCAAGCGAAGCUCUUGAUCGAAGCCCCGGUAAACGGCGGCCGUAACUAUAACGGUCCUAAGGUAGCGAAAUUCCUUGUCGGGUAAGUUCCGACCUGCACGAAUGGCGUAAUGAUGGCCAGGCUGUCUCCACCCGAGACUCAGUGAAAUUGAACUCGCUGUGAAGAUGCAGUGUACCCGCGGCAAGACGGAAAGACCCCGUGAACCUUUACUAUAGCUUGACACUGAACAUUGAGCCUUGAUGUGUAGGAUAGGUGGGAGGCUUUGAAGUGUGGACGCCAGUCUGCAUGGAGCCGGCCUUGAAAUACCACCCUUUAAUGUUUGAUGUUCUAACGUGGACCCGUGAUCCGGGUUGCGGACAGUGUCUGGUGGGUAGUUUGACUGGGGCGGUCUCCUCCUAAAGAGUAACGGAGGAGCACGAAGGUUGGCUAAUCCUGGUCGGACAUCAGGAGGUUAGUGCAAUGGCAUAAGCCAGCUUGACUGCGAGCGUGACGGCGCGAGCAGGUGCGAAAGCAGGUCAUAGUGAUCCGGUGGUUCUGAAUGGAAGGGCCAUCGCUCAACGGAUAAAAGGUACUCCGGGGAUAACAGGCUGAUACCGCCCAAGAGUUCAUAUCGACGGCGGUGUUUGGCACCUCGAUGUCGGCUCAUCACAUCCUGGGGCUGAAGUAGGUCCCAAGGGUAUGGCUGUUCGCCAUUUAAAGUGGUACGCGAGCUGGGUUUAGAACGUCGUGAGACAGUUCGGUCCCUAUCUGCCGUGGGCGCUGGAGAACUGAGGGGGGCUGCUCCUAGUACGAGAGGACCGGAGUGGACGCAUCACUGGUGUUCGGGUUGUCAUGCCAAUGGCACUGCCCGGUAGCUAAAUGCGGAAGAGAUAAGUGCUGAAAGCAUCUAAGCACGAAACUUGCCCCGAGAUGAGUUCUCCCUGACCCUUUAAGGGUCCUGAAGGAACGUUGAAGACGACGACGUUGAUAGGCCGGGUGUGUAAGCGCAGCGAUGCGUUGAGCUAACCGGUACUAAUGAACCGUGAGGCUUAACCUU
rnacentral:rRNA from 3 species